UACGUAGGGGGCAAGCGUUGUCCGGAUUUAUUGGGCGUAAAGAGCGUGUAGGCGGCCAGGUAGGUCGGUUGUGAAAACUGGAGGCUCAACCUUCAGAGGUCGACCGAAACCAUCUGGCUAGAGUCCGGGAGAGGAGAGUGGAAUUCCUGGUGUAGCGGUGAAAUGCGCAGAUAUCAGGAGGAACACCAAUAGCGAAGGCAGCUCGCUGGGACGGUACUGACGCUGAGAAGCGAAAGCAUGGGGAGCGAACAGG
rnacentral:rRNA from 1 species